GGACAUUGUCAGGUGGGGAGU
rnacentral:siRNA from 1 species